rnacentral:lncRNA from 1 species
UCACUUAAGCCUCAGUAAUAGUUUUUUUCAUUGUAUACAUUUUGUAGUCAUAUAAGUUCUAUGGAUAGACAGGGGACCAUAUUUUGAUUUCUACAAAAGGAAAAAACGUGGGCGGUCGAUGAACAUCGGGUUGUAGAGGAGGAUAUUUGGAAAUUAAUAUAAUUGAAGAAUCAAAUAUCGAUAAAUUUUGAUUUUACUUAAUAAAGAAAAUAUUUUGGAUGUUACGGUCCGAAAAAAACUUGCAGGAGGCGUGCGCGGAAGUCUAGCAGUUCGUAAUGUCCAGUUUCUGUGGGUCAAACAUUUCAAUCCAUCUUUUUACAGUAUAUCCAAAGACAUUUUUUUAAUAAAUUUAUGAAAUGUCCGGUUUCUGUGUGACAAAAUUGUAAACAAAAUUUUAAAACAAUUCCUUCGAAAAGAAACAGAAAAGAGGAAUUAAAUCAACUGGUGAUUAGUCAAUUAUUCUCAAAUAUUGAAUUAUUAUGGAGUAAUUGAUGGGAAUUGUUCACUACUUAAGAAGAUCUAGGUAAUUCUUAUUCGACCAAUCAAUUUUCAAAAGACUGAUAAACGGAACAGAAACAUAAAAAUUGAUCGCGGACCAUAAAUACCAAGAUUUUUUUUUGUGAACAGAAAAUACUGUCUUUUUGACAAAUUUGAUAACAAAAUUUAAGUCAAAGGUGUAUAAAAUAUGUCCUAGAAAACGAGAACUGUUUUUUCUAUUUGGUAAUCUCAACAGGGUUAUCUAUUUCCAAAAGGUGUUAACAUUAUUAUUUAAAUCUUGAAGACUAACUAUGUUCUGAGUUAUAAGUUUAAGUCCUUGUUGAACUCGGUGUAGAAUUGAGAAUCGAAAUUGCUGUAAUUCCAUCAUAUAUGUCCUUGCUGUAGACGGAUUGGGAUUUGUGUUUAUUUCCUUCCUCUCAUGGCUGUUUACAGCUGAUCUAAUAAAACGUCAUGAGAGCUGAGCUGCUCUCCUUACAAACUUUCUUCAAAUUGUCAGGAUUAUCACGUUCAUUCUCGGUUUCUUUUAUUUUUAAAUAUCAGCAGUACAUAUUUAUGCAUCACUGCCAGUGUUGGGCGUGUGCGUUACAAAAGCAACGCGUUACUGUAAUACAUUACAUUAGGCACUAACAUAGUAAUAUAACUCGCUACUAAAUAUAUUACGGUAAUAAUAUUACAGUUACUGAGUCCGGUAACGUGCGUUACAAUCCGAGCUGUCUCACAGCUUUUUUUCGAAAAAACAACACAGGUGCAGCAGUUUUAAAUGAAGACGAGAAGAAGACGGGUUUAAAGCAACACAAGAAGAAGACGAUUUGGUUUGGAGAUUUCAAGAUGACAACAAGAAAGGAUAAUUAAAUAUUUUCUAAGUGGUUAUUCUCGCACUAUUUUCAAUUUAUCAGAGAAAUAGACAAGAACUUCACAGUAAGGUGCACUUUAUGUGCCGGUGGGAAGCCUGGUAAUAAGUAACUUAUUACUUAUUAAUCUUCAUUUAAGGUAAUAUUGUAUUACUUUCAAAUGCAAGUAACUAGUAAUAUGAAAUACAUUACAUUUUGGAAGUAACUUGCCCAACACUGAUCCUUACCCAGUACCAAUAACUCCCCCUCCGUGACCAGGUAUCUCACACAUUUGGUUUAUUUUGACAUUAUUUGUUUAAACUAACACCAUUAGACUCUAUGCAAAAUUUUAAGCUAGUAUCUUUAUUAAUAAGGAAGAUAUGAGUGUUUACAUAUAGGAAACUAUAAUUAGUUCUUGUUAAGCCAUGAACAAUUUCCUACAAUUAUUCAAUAAUAAUUCUAUAGUCGGGAAAUAUUGGCUAACUAUCAACUGAUUUAAGGCCUUUUUCUGUUUCUUUUCGAAGGGAUUGUAUAAUAUUCAUUUGUUUAUCCCACAAAAACCGGACAUUUCUAUAAAAAAAUGGCUUCGGACAAGAGGACUGUUGAUAACCCUUACUAUUAGGAACUGCAACAACUUACUAUGGGACACGGCAUUACCUAUAGAGAUAAAAACAUAGAGUGAUGAGAUGAGGAAGAAGUUGACACUAUCGACGUUGACCAAAACAUUCAAAUUAGUAGGUAUGUUAAAGGACUCCAAAAAAUGAAGAUUUGAUGGAGAUAAUUAUGGGUGCAUUCAAGUGUUUUUUUUCGAUAUCAAGUAUAUAAAUUUGACCAAUAUGCGAAAUUAUAUCGUUUAAGGAUAGUGCCUUCUAGUUCAUCAAUAAAUUCUUAAACUUUAAGAAACUUUAUUUAUAGAGCAAGGAGGAAUGUGCUACAUUGUAUUUAAUAUUUAUUACAUUAAUUUCUUCCUUAUAUUUAACAAUUAUAAUUUAUAGAAAUAAAUUAAUAAAAAUUCAUAUUUAUACAAUCUAAA